rnacentral:tRNA from 1 species
GCGCGGGUAGCUCAAUUGGCUAGAGCGUCGGCCUCCGGAGCCGAAGGUUAUGAGUUCGACCCUCAUCCCGCGUACCA